rnacentral:rRNA from 1 species
CCGACUGCUAUUUGGGUGAGAAUAAGCCAUGCGAGUUGAAUGGGAUACCUAAAGAUCCCAUAGCAAACUGCUCAGUAACACAUGAUCAACUUACCCUAUAGAGAAAAAUAACCUCGGGAAACUGAGGAUAAUGUUUCAUAAUUGAAUUGGCUUGGAAAAGUUUUUCAAUGAAAAGGAUAAAAAAAUGGUUUUUAUCUGCUAUAGGAUAGGAUCGUGUUCGAUUAUGGUUGUUGGUGAGAUAAUGGCUCACCAAGCCGAUAAUCGAUAGGGGCCGUGAGAGCGGGAGCCCCGAGAUGGGUACUGAGACAACGACCCAGGCCUUACGAGGCGCAGCAGGCGCGGAACCUCCGCAAUACACGAAAGUGUGACGGGGUUACCCAAAGUGUUCAAUAGAACUGUGGUAGGUGAGUAAUGUCCCCUACUAGAAAGGAGAGGGCAAGGCUGGUGCCAGCCGCCGCGGUAAAACCAGCUCUUCAAGUGGUCGGGAUAAUUAUUGGGCUUAAAGUGUCCGUAGCCGGUUUAGUUAGUUCCUGGUAAAAUCGGGUAGCUUAACUAUCUGUAUGCUAGGAAUACUGCUAUACUAGAGGGCGGGAGAGGUCUGAGGUACUACAGGGGUAGGGGUGAAAUCUUAUAAUCCUUGUAGGACCACCAGUGGCGAAGGCGUCAGACUGGAACGCGCCUGACGGUGAGGGACGAAAGCCAGGGGAGCGAACCGGAUUAGAUACCCGGGUAGUCCUGGCCGUAAACGAUGCAUACUAGGUGAUGGUACGGCCAUGAGCCGUAUCAGUGCCGUAGGGAAACCCGUUAA